rnacentral:rRNA from 1 species
UGGCGGCAGGCUUAACACAUGCAAGUCGAGCGGAAACGAUUCUAGCUUGCUAGAAGGCGUCGAGCGGCGGACGGGUGAGUAAUGCAUGGGAAUCUGCCCGAUAGUGGGGGACAACCUGGGGAAACUCAGGCUAAUACCGCAUACGUCCUACGGGAGAAAGCAGGGGAUCUUCGGACCUUGCGCUAUCGGAUGAGCCCAUGUCGGAUUAGCUUGUUGGUGAGGUAAUGGCUCACCAAGGCGACGAUCCGUAGCUGGUCUGAGAGGAUGAUCAGCCACACUGGGACUGAGACACGGCC